UACGUAGGGCGCAAGCGUUGUCCGGAAUUAUUGGGCGUAAAGAGCUCGUAGGCGGUUUGUCGCGUCUGUCGUGAAAGCCCGGGGCUUAACUCCGGGUCUGCGGUGGAUACGGGCAGACUAGAGGCAGGUAGGGGAGAACGGAAUUCCCGGUGUAGCGGUGAAAUGCGCAGAUAUCGUUUGGAACGCCAAUGGUGAAAACAGACAGCUGGGAGUGUGCUGACGCUGAGACACGAAAGCCAGGGGAGCGAACGGG
rnacentral:rRNA from 1 species